rnacentral:rRNA from 1 species
GACGAACGCUGGCGGCGUGCCUAACACAUGCAAGUCGAGCGGAGAUUGAGGAAGAGCUUGCUCGGAAUCAAUCUUAGCGGCGGACGGGUGAGUAACGCGUGAGCAACCUGCCUUUCACAGGGGGAUAACGCAGCGAAAGUUGUGCUAAUACCGCAUGAGACCACAGGAGGACAUCCUCUAGGGGUCAAAGGAGCAAUCCGGUGAAAGAUGGGCUCGCGUCUGAUUAGCUGGUUGGUGCGGUAACGGCGUACCAUGGCGACGAUGCUUAGGGGUUCUGAGAGGAAGGUCCCCCANACUGGUACUGAGAUACGGACCAGACUCCUACGGGAGGCAGCAGUGAGGAAUAUUGGUCAAUGGUCGGAAGACUGAACCAGCCAUGCCGCGUGCAGG